rnacentral:tRNA from 1 species
UAUCUCUGAAAAUACAAAGUAUAAUUAAUUUCCAAUUAAUAAGAAAAAAGAGAAAU